AGAGUUUGAUCAUGGCUCAGGAUGACGCUAGCGGGAGGCUUAACACAUGCAAGUCGAGGGGCAGCACGAGGUAGCAAUACUUUGGUGGCGACCGGCGCACGGGUGAGUAACGCGUAUGUAACCUACCUUGUACAGGGGGAUAGCCCGGAGAAAUUCGGAUUAAUACCCCAUAAAGAUAUUUUGGGGCAUCUUAAGAUAUUUAAAGUUUCGACGGUACGGGAUGGGCAUGCGUAACAUUAGCUAGUUGGUAGGGUAACGGCCUACCAAGGCUACGAUGUUUAGGGGUCCUGAGAGGGUGAUCCCCCACACUGGUACUGAGACACGGACCAGACUCCUACGGGAGGCAGCAGUGAGGAAUAUUGGUCAAUGGGCGCAAGCCUGAACCAGCCAUCCCGCGUGCAGGAAGACGGCGCUAUGCGUUGUAAACUGCUUUUCCAGGGGAAGAAAACCCGCUACGAGUAGCGGCUUGCCGGUACCCUGGGAAUAAGCAUCGGCUAACUCCGUGCCAGCAGCCGCGGUAAUACGGAGGAUGCGAGCGUUAUCCGGAUUUAUUGGGUUUAAAGGGUGCGUAGGCGGAUUAAUAAGUCAGUGGUGAAAACCUGCAGCUUAACUGUAGAACUGCCAUUGAUACUGUUAGUCUUGAGUACGGUCAAGGUAGGCGGAAUGUGUAAUGUAGCGGUGAAAUGCUUAGAUGUUACACAGAACCCGAUUGCGAAGGCAGCUUACUGGGCCAUUACUGACGCUGAUGCACGAAAGCGUGGGGAGCGAACAGGAUUAGAUACCCUAGUAGUCC
rnacentral:rRNA from 1 species